rnacentral:rRNA from 1 species
GGGCGGCACCAGAAGCGGGUAGCUUAACCUUCGGGAGAGCGCUUGCCACGGUGUGGUUCAUGACUGGGGUGAAGUCGUAACAAGGUAGCCGUAGGUGAACCUGCAGAAGGAUCA